rnacentral:rRNA from 1 species
AUUGAACGCUGGCGGCAUGCUUUACACAUGCAAGUCGAACGGUAACAGGUCUUCGGCUGCUGACGAGUGGCGAACGGGUGAGUAAUACAUCGGAACGUGCCUAGUAGUGGGGGAUAACUACUCGAAAGAGUAGCUAAUGCCGCAUGAGAUCUACGGAUGAAAGCAGGGGACCUUCGGGCCUUGUGCUACUAGAGCGGCUGAUGGCAGAUUAGGUAGUUGGUGGGGUAAAGGCUUACCAAGCCUGCGAUCUGUAGCUGGUCUGAGAGGACGACCAGCCACACUGGGACUGAGACACGGCCCAGACUCCUACGGGAGGCAGCAGUGGGGAAUUUUGGACAAUGGGCGAAAGCCUGAUCCAGCAAUGCCGCGUGCAGGAUGAAGGCCCUCGGGUUGUAAACUGCUUUUGUACGGAACGAAAAGCCUGGGGCUAAUAUCCCCGGGUCAUGACGGUACCGUAAGAAUAAGCACCGGCUAACUACGUG